rnacentral:sRNA from 1 species
AUAUAUAUAUAUAUAUCUACAUAUAUAUUUUUGCAGUCAUUUUGUGAAAUAAAUCUUGGAGUUGUAUAUUAUUUACAAUGGCUGACAUUGGCUUUUAAUUAUUGAUUUUCUUUUGGCAAUAAAUUGAUUAAUAAACAAAAAAUAUUCCAAAUAUAUUCCAAUCCCAUAUAUCACGCAGAUUUCUCCAAAAUUUGAACUAAAUUUCGGAAAUUAUUUAAAAUAAAAAAUAUUUGACAAACCAAAAUACAAUUGCAAUCCCUUAAAAUGAGCAAAACUCACCUAAAUACAUUCCUUAUCAGUUUACUAAAUCUUAUUUCUCCAACAUUUGAAUUAGAUUUCGACAACUAUUUAAAACAAAAAUUUGUUUGACAAACUAAAAUAUAAUUGCAAUCCCGUAAAAUAUUUUUUUAAAUUAGCGGUGUACCGCAGAUUUUUUUAACGGGACGGGUUUGGUAGAACGGGUUUGGAAGGAUGUUACUUAAUAACAAUUGUAAACUAUAAAAUAUAAAUA